UGAUUUCCAAAUUGAGAAAUGAUGGAGUAAAGGAGUUGUGAUAUCAGGCUUUGGAAAAACAAUUUGCAGUGAGUGAGGAAAAAUAGAAGACCUGAGGUUUGGAUAUUCUGGAAAGAGAAGCAGUAACACCUGAGUGCACCUGAAGGGUCAACAUGUGAGAACUGCAGUGCUGUAGAAAAUGCAUGCUACGAAAGAGCAAAGUAACAGUCACAGCUGCGGCACAAUGGAAAUGAGCAACAACUUCUGUUUUGCUGCUGCACAAAGACUGAGUCCUGCUCCGCAGCCUGACCAUAUCACCUCAAGUAAAUACACACAGACUGAUGACAGAGUCUGGUAAUGUCUGCAACCAUUCUGCCUGUGCAGCAACAUUGCCUCCAUGUGCAGACAGAGUUUUGGA